rnacentral:rRNA from 1 species
GGAGUUAGCCGGUGCUUCUUCUGUGAGUGAUGUCCUUCCUGCCGGCUAUUAACCCGCAGGCCUUCUUCCUCACUGAAAGUGCUUUACAACCCGAAGGCCUUCUUCACACACGCGGCAUGGCUGGAUCAUGGUUGCCCCCAUUGUCCAAUAUUCCCCACUGCUGCCUCCCGUAGGAGUCUGGGCCGUGUCUCAGUCCCAGUGUGGCUGAUCAUCCUCUCAGACCAGCUACGGAUCGUCGCCUUGGUGAGCCGUUACCUCACCAACCAGCUAAUCCGACAUAGGCUCAUCCGAUAGCGCGAGGCCCGAAGGUCCCCCGCUUUCCCCCGUAGGGCGUAUGCGGUAUUAGCCUGGGUUUCCCCAGGUUAUCCCCCACUACCGGGCAGAUUCCUAUGCAUUACUCACCCGUCCGCCGCUCGCCACCAGGGAGCAAGCUCCCCGUGCUGCCGCUCGACUUGCAUGUGUUAGGCCUGCCGCCAGCGUUCAAUCUGACGCAUCAAUUCAANCUGA